rnacentral:piRNA from 1 species
GUUGAGCGGUGAGGCUGGCCGUGGGCUU